GGGGCGAUUCAGCCGACUCUCCGAUUUUGACUUUCGAUCGGCCUGAUAAGCACGACCUGUCAACUAUCAAUCGAUUGGUCGACUGAUAGUCGGCUAUCUAUAAAUUUGAUAGACUCCAACUAUGAUGACUUGAUCGAUUUCAGAUCGAUGACUGUUGGCAUAUCAGAGUUACCGACCGAUGCUCAUUCAAACUUCCACAACUAUCGACAUACGAUCGAUA
rnacentral:lncRNA from 1 species